UACAGAGGGUGCGAGCGUUGUCCGGAAUCACUGGGCGUAAAGGGCGCGUAGGCGGCCUGCUAAGUAGAGGGUGAAAUCCUGCGGCUCAACCGCAGGGCUGCCUUCUAAACUGUCAGGCUGGAGCACGGUAGGGGCAGAUGGAAUUCCCGGUGUAGCGGUGGAAUGCGUAGAGAUCCGGAAGAACACCGGUGGCGAAGGCGGUCUGCUGGGCAGUUGCUGACACUGAGGCGCGACAGCGUGGGGAGCAAACAGGG
rnacentral:rRNA from 1 species